GGGAGUGGCAAACGGCUGAGUAACGCGUAGGAACCUACCCCAAACUCGAGUAUAGCCCCGCGAGAGCGGGGGUAAUCCUCGAUAGCCCGUGAAGUAUUUUACUUCACGGUAAAGCUUUUGCGGUUUGGGAUGGGCCUGCGUCCUAUCAGGUAGUUGGUGAGGUAAAUGCUCACCAAGCCUAUGACGGGUAGCUGGUCUGAGAGGAUGGUCAGCCAGACUGGGACUGCGACACGGCCCAGACUCCUACGGGAGGCAGCAACUAGGAAUUGUGCGCAAUGGACGAAAGUCUGACGCCGCGACAUCGCGUGGAGGAUGAAGGUCUUCGGAUUGUAAACUCCUUUUCUUACCGAACAAGUUCUGAGUGUAGGUAAGGAAUAAGUGCCUGCUAACCACGUGCCAGAAGCAUCGGUAAUACGUGGGGCACGAGCGUUAUCCGGAUUUACUGGGCGUAAAGAGAAGCGUAGGCGGCUCAAUAAGUUUGGUGUUAAAUCUUCCGGCUCAACCGGAAACAAGCACCGAAAACUAUCGAGAUUGAGUCGAGUAGGGAAGAGGGGAAUUCCUGGUGGAGCGGUUAAAUGCGUGGAUAUCAGGAGGAAUACCAAGGGCGAAGGCACCUCUUUGGACUCGUACUGACGCUGAGGCUCGAAAGCGUGGGUAGCAAAACGGAUUAGAUACCCGUGUAGUCCACGCCGUAAACGAUCCCUGUUAGAUGUAUGUUUUGUCUGUUUAUUUUUCCUUCGGGAAGGGUAAAGGGCAAGAUGUGUGUCGUAGUUAACGCGUUAAACAGGGCGCCUGGGAAGUACGGCCGCAAGGCUAAAACCCAAAGGGAUUGACGGGGACCCGCACAAGCAGUGGAGCGCCUGGUUUAAUUCGAUGGUCAGCGAAGAACCUCACCUAGGCUUGAACUGUAGCUGCACGCUCCCAGAAACGGGAGAAUCCUUCGAGGGUGCUACAGAGGUGCUGCAUGGCUGUCGUCAGCUCGUGUCGUGAGAUGUAGGGUUAAGUCCCACAACGAGCGCAACCCCUAUUCAGUGUUAUAAUUACUCUGAAGACUGCCCUGUCCAAACGGGGAGGAAGGAGGGGACGACGUCCAGUCAUCAUGUCCCUUAUGUCUAGGGCUACACAGACGCUACAAUGGCCGGUACAAUGGGUUGCCAAA
rnacentral:rRNA from 1 species